rnacentral:rRNA from 1 species
CCCUUAGAUGUUCUGGGCCGCACGCGCGCUACACUGAUGCAUUCAACGAGUUUCUUCCUGGUCCGAGAGGAAUGGGUAACCUUUUGAAAGUGCAUCGUGAUAGGGAUAGACUAUUGCAAUUAUUGGUCUUCAACGAGGAGUUCCUAGUAGACGUAGUUCAUCAGACUGCAUCGAUUACGUCCCUGCCCUUUGUACACACCGCCCGUCGCUCCUACCGAUUGGGUGUGCUGGUGAAAUGUUCGGAUCGGCCGUUUGUCGCGGUUUCCGCGGCUCGUGGCUGAGAAGUUCAUUAAACCCUCCCACCUAGAGGAAGGAGAAGUCGUAACA